rnacentral:rRNA from 1 species
UACGGGGGGAGCAAGCGUUGUUCGGAUUUACUGGGCGUAAAGGGUGCGUAGGCGGUCCUAUAAGUCAGUUGUGAAAUACGGCAGCUUAACUGUCGAGGUGCAAUUGAUACUGCAGGACUUGAGUACAGACGAGGUAGGCGGAAUUGACGGUGUAGCGGUGAAAUGCUUAGAUAUCGUCAAGAACACCGAUAGCGAAGGCAGCUUACUAGACUGUAACUGACGCUGAGGCACGAAAGUGUGGGGAUCAAACAGG